CCUACGGGUGGCUGCAGUGGGGAAUAUUGCACAAUGGGGGAAACCCUGAUGCAGCGACGCCGCGUGAAGGAAGACGGAUUUCGGUAUGUAAACUUCUAUCAGCAGGGAAGAAAAUGACGGUACCUGACUAAGAAGCCACGGCUAACUACGUGCCAGCAGCCGCGGUAAUACGUAGGGAGCAAGCGUUAUCCGGAUUUACUGGGUGUAAAGGGAGCGUAGGCGGUAAUGCAAGUCAGAAGUGAAAGCCCGGGGCUCAACCCCUGGACUGCUGUGGAAACUGGGUUGCUGGAUUGCAGGAGAGGUAAGUGGAAUUCCUAGUGUAGCGGUGAAAUGCGUAGAUAUCAGGAGGAACACCAGUUGCGAAGGCGGCUUACUGGACCGCAAAUGACGCUGAGGCUCGAAAGCGUGGGGAGCAAACAGGAUUAGAUACCCUUGUAGUC
rnacentral:rRNA from 1 species